rnacentral:rRNA from 1 species
UACGGAGGGGGCGAGCGUUAUUCGGAAUUAUUGGGCGUAAAGAGCGCGCAGGCGGUCGAUCAAGUCGAGUGUGAAAGCCCCCGGCUCAACUGGGGAGGGUCAUUCGAUACUGAUCGACUCGAAGGCAGGAGAGGGUAGUGGAAUUCCCGGUGUAGUGGUGAAAUGCGUAGAUAUCGGGAGGAACACCAGUGGCGAAGGCGACUACCUGGCCUGUUCUUGACGCUGAGGCGCGAAAGCUAGGGGAGCAAACGGG